GACGAACGCUGGCGGCGUGCUUAACACAUGCAAGUCGAACGGAAAGGCCCUGCUUUUGUGGGGUGCUCGAGUGGCGAACGGGUGAGUAACACGUGAGUAACCUGCCCUUGACUUUGGGAUAACUUCAGGAAACUGGGGCUAAUACCGGAUAGGAGCUCCUGCUGCAUGGUGGGGGUUGGAAAGUUUCGGCGGUUGGGGAUGGACUCGCGGCUUAUCAGCUUGUUGGUGGGGUAGUGGCUUACCAAGGCUUGGACGGGUAGCCGGCCUGAGAGGGUGACCGGCCACAUUGGGACUGAGAUACGGCCCAGACUCCUACGGGAGGCAGCAGUGGGGAAGAUUGCACAAUGGGCGGAAGCCUGAUGCAGCAACGCCGCGUGCGGGAUGACGGCCUUCGGGUUGUAAACCGCUUUCGCCUGUGACGAAGCGUGAGUGACGGUAAUGGGUAAAGAAGCACCGGCUAACUACGUG
rnacentral:rRNA from 1 species